CCCUUCCUCUAUGAAGACCUCAAGGAAGAAAGCAGCUUUUCAGUUAUGACGUUUAAUACCAGAAUCUAUGAGCAGUUGUGAGAUAAAAGAAAUAAACACCAAUCCCAUACCGUAUCUAGCAAUGAUAUAAGCAAUAAUUUCAUGCAUUGGAGAUCCUCCUGUCUACUCCUAGUCCAACAUGGACUUCCACUUAUACACUUCCAGAAUAAAAGAAUAAUGAUGACAGCUUAGCAUGGUAUAAAAUAUAAAAACAAAGGAAAGUAGACAACGUAGAUUUGUGCAAUCAAUUGCAUAGAAGACAAUGGGACUAACAUUAUCUUUUUGCAAACGUUCAAACGUCCGUAUUUACUCAUAAACAGUCCUACCUGAGGUACAAAGUCGCCUUUGGAGUGUAUUAUAUCAAAUACUCCUGUAAGCAGGACCGUGCACCCGCAAAUAUGAAUUCAAAUACUCAUGCAACAUGGUUCCAUUGAAGAAAAAAAUAACAAUGCAACAUGUUUGUGUUGUGCUCUAGGGGGUAGAACGGCUAUGGCAAAAAGCUACAACAGUCUGGUGUUAAGAUCCAUCUGUGGCCAAACAAAGAGAGAACCCCCGGACUUGAUACCGCCUGGCUGAGAUCCAUUCCAAGAGAAACAGAUCUGAAGAAGACAGAUUAGGCAUCAUCCCAAAGUACCAAGCUGUGAACCCUGCAUUUCAACGAUUCUGAUUUAAUCUCUGAGUCUAAAAGAAGUCAGACCCUUGGCAAAGCUCUAAAAAAGAGGUACCUCCAAGCAGAUGUAGUACCAUCCUCAUGGCCAAACUGCCCCAACUACCUCUCAUCUCCUAAAGCGUCAUCAAUGCCAACUCAAGGUGCGACCACGUCACGUAGGGCUCAACAGUUCAACCAACUACAACAGCAUACUGUGUUUUACGAAUCAUCAGUUGGAGUGCUUAAGUAUUACUUCAAAGAAGACAACAGACUGGAGUUUAAAGACAUCUCCGAAUUUUCAGAGUUUGUCAGAACAAUGCAGAAUAUCCUAAACGUCAAGACACCUGGAGUUGGCUACGAAAAGGGAAAUGAGCUUCGGGAACCAAUCUCUGAGAAGAAAUUUUCUCAUCCAGUGGCAAAACAGUAAAGCACCUGGCCUCACAGCAGAAACCUUCCUAGCAGCACACAAACAGACGUGCCUUGCCGUAGCAGAUCUGGCAGAGUAUCUUCUCCUAGAAGCAGACUUCUCCUAUUUACUCCUCGGCAUGUUCCAGUCUGAUCCCAUCGAAAGAAGGUUCGGCUGGUACAGACAACUAAGUGGAGGUGUCCACUACAUAAGCGUGAGAUAGAUCCUGGAAGCAGAGAGAAAGAUUUGUAUUCUGAGUCUUUUCAAAUUCUCAGGUAUGAUUACUUCAUAAAUUAAAGCUCUGCUGAUGAAGACCUGGUAAAGCUGAGCCCAUUUUGACUAGCUGGCAACCAGAUGACCUCCAGGAACUAGUUUCCAAAGGAGAGAGUAAUGCUUUCUACUUUGUAGCCAGGUAUAUUAUUGUUGUUUUUUGGAGAAGAAGAUCAGCUUUACAUCAUGGCAAGUGUUAAUGGUCAUCAGAGACACACUUCCGGACUCAAUAACCUUCGAUAGCCUAAGCAAUCAGCAUGUAGACCUGAAAGAGUUCCUCAAAAUAAUGAGCAGAGGGGAGUGGUCCACUCCCCUCUGACUUUCUCUACCUCUCCUGUCUUUAUGCUCACUCCAUGUUCUUUUACAUCACAGCAACUCCUGAAGAGAAAGACAGUCUACCUGGCACCCCAAAUCCUAGAGCUUAAUUUGUUGCCACAUUUAUUGACAGGAUACAGGGCAGUUUAAACUCUGACAUUAUCGCCAUUGUGGGAUUAAAGUGCGAGGAAGUCAGCUUUUCUUCAAAGAAUUUCAUUCGCUUUGUAUAAUGUCAUGGGUAAAAAUUUAUGUGCUAAACUGAAUAAUAACAUCCGAUUUUUAAUACAAAAGAAAAUGACCGCUAAGAAUUCAGAAGCUAAUAGAAAAAAAGCUAAAUUUCAAACAAAAUCUUCUCACUUGUAGGCUU
rnacentral:lncRNA from 1 species